GAUGAACGCUGGCGGCGUGCCUAAUACAUGCAAGUCGAGCGAACGGACGAUAAGCUUGCUUCUCUGAUGUUAGCGGCGGACGGGUGAGUAACACGUGGAUAACCUACCUAUAAGACUGGGAUCACUUCGGGAAACCGUAUCUAAUACCGGAUAAUAUUUUGAACCGCAUGGUUCAAUAGUGAAAUACGGUCUUGCUGUCACUUAUAGAUGGAUCCGCGCUGCAUUAGCUAGUUGGUAAGGUAACGGCUUACCAAGGCAACGAUGCAUAGCCGACCUGAGAGGGUGAUAGGCCACACUGGAACUGAGACACGGUCCAGACUACUACGGGAGGCAGCAGUAGGGAAUCGUACGCAAUGGGCGAAAGCAUGACGGAGCAACGCCGCGUGAGAGAUGAAGGUCUUCGGAUCGUAAAAAUCUGUUAUUAGGGAAGAACAGAUGUGUAAGUAAAUGUGCACAGCGUGACGGUAACGAAUCAGAAAGCAACGGCUAACUACGUG
rnacentral:rRNA from 1 species